CCCCAAUAAAAUUUUUCCUCUUAACAUAAAUUAACCUCCCCCAAUUCAUCUCUAUCCGCGUCCGUUCCCUGACUCCCUAUCGUAACCUCUCCAAUACUUUCAUCGAUCUCCUGUCUCUAUAUAACCGCUAUGGUUGAGGAACUGUAACGGUGACGAUGAUGAUUGUCGACGAUGGUUUUCUUCGAUGAUUCUCCAAGCGUCUGCCCCUGUCAUUCUUUAAGGUGAGGGUUAUUUAGUUAUUAACAUAGUUAUUGAAACACCAGUUUUGCGUAUUUGUUUACUGGAUUUUAUUUUGAUAUAUGUUUGUUCAAUGUGGUUUUUAAGGGGUAGCGACGCAGCUUGUUGCCCGUCUACCUGCCGUUAGUCUAUAAUCGUCUUUGUUUUAAUGAAAAUCUAUUUAAAGCUUAAAACUCUAACAAAAGGUUUGAACUAUCUAUACGAAAUUCUUUACUUCUUGUUUAUUUGAACCACAAAACCCUUGCCUUGCUUUCAAAAGAUAUCGAUAGUUUAUAAAACUAGAAAUAUUGAUACAAGAUGAUAUUUGAUUGAAAUGGAUUUGUUUUUAUUUUAUUUUUUAUGGCCUUCUUAUUUCUUUUUUCUAGUGCUAGCUUUCACUGUGAUGGUAUUGUUUUCAUGAACAACUCCUAUGUGGUAAUCAUUUUUUAUAUUUAAAAUUCAAUAGUAAACCCAUCAUAAUGCUCAAUUUCUCCAACUAUAUAAUGUUAACUGAUUAGAAUGUAAAACAGAAGUUGUGCCUACCUACAUAGCAAUGUGUCCUCGUUAAAUUUAUAACAUGCUAAUGAUAACAUCACACUAUUGGUAGUUAAAAAAAAUGCCAGUGGCCAGAUGAGAGUUAUUUAUAUAUUUAGCUAUUCGUUAAUUAGCUAGCAUCAAAUAAAUUUUGUUAAUUGUGUUUAUAAAGCCUUACUGUAUGGUUGAAACUAUAUGGAAUGAUAAGUAGGUAUUGCUAUCUAUCUUCGAACCUUGCAAUGCAUAUGGUUGAAACUAUUAGUCAUGGAUAGAACUAAAGGGUGCAAGAUGGCUAUGAUCUUAUUCAGUAAAAUCAUUUAAGGGGCAUAUGAUGGUGAUGGAACCUAACCAAAAAGUCAAAGUUCGGAUGAAGAGGUCGAAGAGCCAAGCAAACUACGAGCAAAAAGUAGAUAAACGACCCUUGACCUGAUAAUGAUUUAACAAGGAGAACGAAUUUCAUGUAUUUGGUGAAUAAACUUGGACUUGCUAAGGUAUGGAUCACAUGAGGUAUGUAAUGUUAUUUUGUCGAACUUUCAUGAAUGUAAACUUGGAAGAGAACAUACUUGACUCACAAUCAAGUGACCCGUUAAGGAGAUUUUAAAUCAGUUAUUAUGUAUUAACCUUGUUUUAUUAGUGUGCAGGUUGGACUUGUUUUCAAUGGGUUCCACGUGCUAUUGAAAUUCUUAGUUGAUAUUAAAGGUUGUAUGCUAAAUGCGCUGGUGCAUAAGAGAGGAAAAUGAUCAGAGAUAUGCAGGGGCAUAUUAUAUACCAGUCUAUAUGGCAUAUACGGAAAAAAGAACCAAAUAUGUCAUGUAAUAUGCUGAGAUGGCGUAUGAGUAGCAUAAAACACGCCCAACUUUGCGUAUUAUACGUUGGGUUGUUUUGUUCAAUUUUUUUUUUGUUUAUUUAUACAGAGUUAUCAGGCAUGUAUAGAUUGUUCACUCAUUUAGCUUUGCUAACUUCUUUGUUUACAUAUACUUCCAGGAUUGAUAGUGGAUUAAUGUUUACAGAGAAUCGUGAAUGAGACUAUGGUUUUUAAGAUUUGAGGACAUUGUCAUGCACUUAUUUUACUUGGUUAGCAACAGUAUCAGGUUUGCAAAUAUUUGUUGGUGGAUUAUUCAUCCUUGAAAGACUAAACAGUUAAGUCGAACAAGGGACACUAGAAGAAAUUUCACAAGCACCUAUUCAAGAUCCUUGAAGAAAAUUUAGUUUGAUUUGAAGAUUUUGUAAAUAAUUUUGAGUAACUUUAUGAAUGUAUAAUAGAUUAUUAUGAUAUCUUUGUUACCAUUCUUAUGGCGCAAUUCAGAUCCUAAUGCAUAUUAAUAGCAAUUGUAGUGUUUGAAACAA